rnacentral:lncRNA from 1 species
AUGAAUCCCUAGUUUAUAUGUUAAAGGAAAUACAAACAAUUAUAUCUCUCUAUUUAUACAUUGGGGAUUGACCGUGAGUUCGACAAAAUCAUGGUGACACUGUGGUUUUGUCAAAUUCAUGAGUCUUAACUCUACUUUAGCCGAAAUCGUAUUAUCUUAUUAUGAAUUUGUCAAUUUCACGGUCGAUUUAAACAUGUAUCUAAUGUUGUGAAUCCUCUUCAAAGUCAGUCAAAAUCGAUUUUGACCUUGAAGAGCGUAAGCAAUCAUACAUGUGACAAUCUAUACAUUCAUGGUUUAAGAGUCUUUCAUGGAGAGGUUGAAAGUGAAAUGGAG